rnacentral:rRNA from 1 species
AUACGGAGGGGGCUAGCGUUGUUCGGAAUCACUGGGCGUAAAGGGCACGUAGGCGGUCAGGCAAGUUGGUGGUGAAAGCCCUCGGCUCAACCGAGGAAUUGCCCCCAAAACUGCCUGACUUGAGUCCCGGAGAGGGUGGCGGAAUUCCCAGUGUAGCGGUGAAAUGCGUAGAUAUUGGGAGGAACACCAGUGGCGAAGGCGGUCACCUGGACGGGUACUGACGCUGAGGUGCGAAAGCGUGGGGAGCAAACAGGAUUAGAAACCCCAGUAGUCC